GGCACCCCCCAAGUGUCUUGAAAUGUGCAGAGCCCGCUGGGUUGCCAAAGCCUCCUUCUAUGGACAACCCCUUUGGGGGUGAAGUAUGUGUUGCACCUGCUUUCUGGAAGAUUGCUGAUGGCCUCCCUGUCACCCAGACCCAGACAGGGUUGGAUCGAUGACGUCAGAGCCAUCCUCACAAAGGAUGCUUCCUGCCUCCUGCAUGCCCUCUGCUCCUGUCCUCCCUGCCCCCGGAAGACCCCUGCACCCUCACGACUGUGCUGUGCCCCCCAGCAAGUGGCCCCGCGCCCGGGCGCUGUGCCGACAGGGGCCUCUGCCCCAUAGGUACUGACUCCAGGCCUUUCUGGGAACGGCCUCCAGCCCUUAUUUCCACGGCAAGCCUCACUUUGGCCGUUCUCAUGAACCAGGGAAAGAAGUAACCCUCUCCAAUAGGAAAGCGUAAUAAGAUCUAUGGGAUUUAAUAAGAUCGUCCAAGCCUUGGCACCUACUGCAGUUUUCUGGUGACACCGCGUUCUUUGGGGAGGACUCUGACUGAUAGAACCUCUCUUAGGAACACAGUCACGCAAAGGUCUGGGGCAGAACUCCGGAAACGGGGAACCACACGAGGCCCUAAGGGUAUGAGCUCGCUGCGUGUGAGAAGCCAGAAGAAAGGAAAGCUGGUCAGACCAAAGCAAGAGAGAGAGAGACAGCGUGUGAGCAGGGGAGGAGCAGAGAGAGAGGGAGACACGGAA